ensembl:lncRNA
GCUAAAGAAGCACAAAGAAGAGAGAACAGGAGAAAACUUAAUUUAAAACUCAAAAGAUGUUUAUGGAGGAGGGCUUUAAAAGAGGAACUUGAUUUUGAGGAAGCAGCAACAUUGAACAUUUGGUAUGACAUAGAAAAGGCAUUCCAAAGCAGGAGCAGCACCGAUAAAAGGCACUGAGACUGGUCAAAGGGCUACUUGAAGAGAAGUGACAAUAGCAGGCCGGGACCACAUUAUAAAGAAAAGCUCAUCCCAAGUAUUUUGGGAGGCCACGGCAGAUGAAUUGCUUGAACCCAGGAGUUCAAGACCAGCCUGGAAAACAUGGCAAAACCCAUCUCUACUAAAGAAAAAAGAAAAAGUAGCUGGGUGGAGCGGCUUGCAUCUGUAUUCCCAGCUACUCAAGAGGCUGAGGCAACAGACUGAUUAAGCCCCUGAGGUCCAGGCUGCAUUGAGCUGAUAUCACACAACUGUGCUCCAGCCUGGGUCACAGACAGAGGCGCUGUCUCAAAAGAUAAAAAUUAUAAUAAAAUAAAAUAAAUAAAAUUACGCAUUUUUUCUGUUAAUUGCUUUAGCUCUCUCCCAUGGGUUUGGUUUGAAGUAUUCACAUGUUGUCUUCUUUUUUAUAAGAAUUAAGUAAUUGGAUUUUUAUUUCUACCAUUUUCUAAAGGUUACAAGUACUUUUGUUAUUUUAUUAUUUAUUUCUAAUAUGUUGGCUUUCUAUCAGGGAAUGCUUUUUCUACCUUUGAAAAAAUUAAAUAUGUUUUGUAGCUAACUACAUGACUACAUAUGUUAUAUUAACAUGUUAAAAUGUAUGUGCUCUCUUGAAAAGAUGAAAUGAAACAUCUGUGAUAUGCUAGUUACUUCUAUGAGUACUGCAGAAAAAGCAGAGAUAACAACAGACAAAAGCGUCUGACUCUAAGGAGCUUACAUUCUAAUUUAAGGAAAACCAUAAUAAUAUACAACAACAUGUGUUAACUUAGAAGGUGAUAAGUUGCGUGGUAUUAGAAAUAUUUAAUAACUGGUAGAGAUGUAGAAAAUUCUAAGUCUAAAACACUGAAAUUUAUUCUCCAAGUCAAAUACUAAAUAAUACAAGUUGUAGGAAUAAUUAUCUACUAGAUCAUUCUUGUAAUUUCAAAAUUGUUUACUUUAGAAAUUGAUGGUGGUGUCUUUUGCUUAAUUCAGCUGUUAGAUAAAUGCUUGCUUUUUCUAUGUCACAUUUUGACAGAUUUUGAAAAAGAGUACCACAUUUGUAUUUUUAAUGAAUACCUCCAUUAAAGUUAAAAAGUAACCUCAACAAGUUAAAAAGUCCCUCCACAAAGUAUCGUUGAUACUGCUGAAUUCUCUGAGUAUCUCUUGAACAAUAGUUAUAUUCAAAAUAUUUUUAUGCUCUUUUAAUAUUACUGGAGAGUUUAAUAUAUUCAGUCUCAAACUAUAGUAACCAAAACAGUGUGACACCAGCAUGAAUACAGACACACAGAUGAUUGGAGCAGAAUAGAAAACCCAAAAGUAAAGCCAUACAUCUAAAGUUAACUCAUUUCCAACAAAGGUAACAAGAACAUACAUUGGAAAAAGGACAGUCUUUUCAAUAAAUGGUGCUAGAAAACCUGAAUAUUCAUAUUCAGAAGAAUGAAACUAGACCCCUAUGUCUUGCCAUUCUAAAAAAAACAAAAUGAAUUAAAGACU